UGAACGCUGGCGGCGUGCCUAAUACAUGCAAGUCGAGCGAACAGACGAGGAGCUUGCUCCUCUGACGUUAGCGGCGGACGGGUGAGUAACACGUGGAUAACCUACCUAUAAGACUGGGAUAACUUCGGGAAACUGGAGCUAAUACCGGAUAAUAUAUUGAACCGCAUGGUUCAAUAGUGAAAGACGGUUUUGCUGUCACUUAUAGAUGGAUCCGCGCCGCAUUAGCUAGUUGGUAAGGUAACGGCUUACCAAGGCGACGAUGCGUAGCCGACCUGAGAGGGUGAUCGGCCACACCGGAACUGAGACACGGUCCAGACUCCUACGGGAGGCAGCAGUAGGGAAUCUUCCGCAAUGGGCGAAAGCCUGACGGAGCAACGCCGCGUGAGUGAUGAAGGUCUUCGGAUCGUAAAACUCUGUUAUUAGGGAAGAACAAAUGUGUAAGUAACUAUGCACGUCUUGACGGUACCUAAUCAGAAAGCCACGGCUAACUACGUG
rnacentral:rRNA from 1 species